GCCCAAGGUUUCCUCCGCAAGGUUCGUCCACGGAGGGUGAGUCAGGGCCUAAGAUCAGGCCGAAAGGCGUAGUCGAUGGACAACAGGUCAAUAUUCCUGUACUACCCCUUGUUGGUACGGAGGGACGGAGGAGGCUAGGUUAGCCGGAAGAUGGUUAUAGGUUUAA
rnacentral:ncRNA from 1 species